rnacentral:rRNA from 1 species
AGAGUUUGAUCCUGGCUCAGGACGAACGCUGGCGGCGCGCCUAACACAUGCAAGUCGAACGAGAGAGAAGGAGCUUGCUUCCUCGAUCGAGUGGCGAACGGGUGAGUAACGCGUGAGGAACCUGCCUCAAAGAGGGGGACAACAGUUGGAAACGACUGCUAAUACCGCAUAAGCCCACGGCUCGGCAUCGAGCAGAGGGAAAAGGAGCAAUCCGCUUUGAGAUGGCCUCGCGUCCGAUUAGCUAGUUGGUGAGGUAACGGCCCACCAAGGCGACGAUCGGUAGCCGGACUGAGAGGUUGAACGGCCACAUUGGGACUGAGACACGGCCCAGACUCCUACGGGAGGCAGCAGUGGGGAAUAUUGCACAAUGGGGGAAACCCUGAUGCAGCGACGCCGCGUGGAGGAAGAAGGUCUUCGGAUUGUAAACUCCUGUUGUUGAGGAAGAUAAUGACGGUACUCAACAAGGAAGUGACGGCUAACUACGUGCCAGCAGCCGCGGUAAAACGUAGGUCACAAGCGUUGUCCGGAAUUACUGGGUGUAAAGGGAGCGCAGGCGGGAAGACAAGUUGGAAGUGAAAUCCAUGGGCUCAACCCAUGAACUGCUUUCAAAACUGUUUUUCUUGAGUAGUGCAGAGGUAGGCGGAAUUCCCGGUGUAGCGGUGGAAUGCGUAGAUAUCGGGAGGAACACCAGUGGCGAAGGCGGCCUACUGGGCACCAACUGACGCUGAGGCUCGAAAGUGUGGGUAGCAAACAGGAUUAGAUACCCUGGUAGUCCACACCGUAAACGAUGAUUACUAGGUGUUGGAGGAUUGACCCCUUCAGUGCCGCAGUUAACACAAUAAGUAAUCCACCUGGGGAGUACGACCGCAAGGUUGAAACUCAAAGGAAUUGACGGGGGCCCGCACAAGCAGUGGAGUAUGUGGUUUAAUUCGACGCAACGCGAAGAACCUUACCAAGUCUUGACAUCCUGCGACGGUGCUGGAAACAGUACUUUCCUUCGGGACGCAGAGACAGGUGGUGCAUGGUUGUCGUCAGCUCGUGUCGUGAGAUGUUGGGUUAAGUCCCGCAACGAGCGCAACCCUUA